rfam:Marine metagenome 1096626383150, whole genome shotgun sequence.
CCCAUUGUGAGGUGGGAUCUGAAGGAAGCUGAUGGCAAAGUAUGGCAGUGACGCACAGAAAUCAGAUUAGGUAUAUAUGACUGGGUAACCCAGCCAGAGAUGGAAUAACCCGAACUCGAACGGAAGUGCAUAUGUAUAGAUCUGGCAUAGCCAUACGAAGGAGCUACGU